UGGUGGAGUGAUUUGUCUGGUUAAUUCCGUUAACGAACGAGACCUUGACCUGCUAACUAGUCACCGUAAACAUUUUGUUUGCGGGCAGUACUUCUUAGAGGGACAAUCUGUGUUUCCAGCAGAUGGAAGCUCGAGGCAAUAACA
rnacentral:rRNA from 1 species